rnacentral:rRNA from 1 species
UACGUAGGGUGCGAGCGUUAAUCGGAAUUACUGGGCGUAAAGCGUGCGCAGGCGGUUGGUUAAGUCUGAUGUGAAAGCCCCGGGCUCAACCUGGGAAUGGCAUUGGAAACUGGCUGGCUAGAGUGUGGCAGAGGGGGGUGGAAUUCCCAGUGUAGAGGUGAAAUUCGUAGAUAUUGGGAAGAACACCGGUGGCGAAGGCGGCGACCUGGUCCGAUACUGACGCUGAGGCGCGAAAGCGUGGGGAGCAAACAGG